GUAGGGAAUUUUGCGCAAUGGACGUAAGUCUGACGCAGCAACGCCGCGUGAGUGAUGAAGGUCUUCGGAUUGUAAAGCUCUGUUGAGUGGGAAGAAAAGUUACGGUUCUAAUAAAACCGGAGCCUGACGGUACCGCUCGAGGAAGCACCGGCUAACUACGUGCCAGCAGCCGCGGUAAUACGUAGGGUGCAAGCGUUGUUCGGAAUCACUGGGCGUAAAGGGAGCGUAGGCGGAGCCGUAAGUUAGGAGUGUAAUACCCGGGCUUAACCCGGGUCUUGCUUUUAAUACUGCGGUUCUUGAGUUUGGAAGAGGGAGAUGGAAUUCCAGGUGUAGCGGUGGAAUGCGUAGAUAUCUGGAAGAACACCAGUAGCGAAGGCGGUCUCCUGGUCCUAUACUGACGCUGAGGCUCGAAAGUUAGGGGAGCAAACAGGAUUAGAUACCCUAGUAGUCC
rnacentral:rRNA from 1 species